rnacentral:rRNA from 1 species
CGGACGGGUGAGUAACGCGUGAGAAUCUGCCCUCAGGAGGGGGAUAACGGCUGGAAACGGCCGCUAAUACCCCAUAUGCCGCGAGGUGAAAUGAAUUUCGCCUGAGGAUGAGCUCGCGUCUGAUUAGCUAGUUGGUGGGGUAAGAGCCUACCAAGGCAUCGAUCAGUAGCUGGUCUGAGAGGAUGAUCAGCCACACUGGGACUGAGACACGACCCAGACUCCUACGGGAGGCAGCAGUGGGGAAUUUUCCGCAAUGGGCGAAAGCCUGACGGAGCAACGCCGCGUGAGGGAUGAAGGCCUCUGGGCUGUAAACCUCUUUUAUCAAGGAAGAAGAUCUGACGGUACUUGAUGAAUAAGCCACGGCUAAUUCCGUGCCAGCAGCCGCGGUAAUACGGGAGUGGCAAGCGUUAUCCGGAAUUAUUGGGCGUAAAGCGUCCGCAGGCGGUCUUGUAAGUCUGUCGUUAAAGCGUGGAGCUUAACUCCAUUUGAGCGAUGGAAACUGCAAGACUAGAGUGUGGUAGGGGCAGAGGGAAUUCCCGGUGUAGCGGUGAAAUGCGUAGAUAUCGGGAAGAACACCAGUGGCGAAGGCGCUCUGCUGGGCCAUAACUGACGCUCAUGGACGAAAGCCAGGGGAGCGAAAGGGAUUAGAUACCCCUGUAGUC